rnacentral:rRNA from 1 species
UACAGAGGUCUCAAGCGUUGUUCGGAUUCAUUGGGCGUAAAGGGCGCGUAGGCUGCGGGGCAAGUCGGGUGUGAAAUCUCAGAGCUCAACUCUGAAACUGCACUCGAUACUGCUUUGCUGGAGGACUGGAGAGGAGAUUGGAAUUCACGGUGUAGCAGUGAAAUGCGUAGAUAUCGUGAGGAAGACCAGUGGCGAAGGCGGAUCUCUGGACAGUUCCUGACGCUGAGGCGCGAAGGCCAGGGGAGCAAACGGG